UAUCGCCCCAGACCACAAGCGUACACUUCACAUAAAUAACUACAGGCUCCCGCUCAACUGAUGACCAAACGUAUGACAUUGAUUUAUAAGUCAACAUGGUUGACAACGUAUGCUGCCCUGGACAGCCCUGUAAACAUGACGGCGAGAGAUAGGAAAAUCACGGCCAUAUCUCGAUUCUCACAUGUGGAGAAGCCAGUUGCAACGGAAAAUACACCUGCUCCCAGGAAUGCUGCAAAAAGGAAUGGGAAGGCUCUCUGACGAUUUCAUUGAACAUCAUAGACACAGAAUCAUCUACCAAGGAUUUUCCGAGAUCUAAGGAAAUCAGCGGACUGUCCAGCUACAAACCCAGAUAAAGCCUGACACAAAUAAGGGACAGCUGACAAUGCACCGUUCUGAAAAAAAGAAGACAGGUCAUAUGAUUUUGUAGACAUGUAUGCUGCUACAAUGUUCACGUCAUAUGUGCGUACGAUUUUCCAAUGUAAGAAGUAAAUUAUAUAGUAAUGAAAAAAGGAGACAUGAUACUGUCUAGUUUAAUUUUACGGGACUAAUAUUUUGCUGUUGUCCUAGUCGGAGAUUCGCGGAAUAUUUAUUUUCGUAUGACACCGUCAUUCAAACUUUCGACAGUAAAGUACCGAUACAUUUUGAACAAUUGAACGCUUGUUACAUAGUAUUUAUUGUUGUCGAUGUCAAUGCAAUCUGAGUGAUAUAUACAUAGAACGAGGGCCGUUAGAAUUAUUCCCUUGUUUUCUAUUGUCAUGCUAUAUUCAAAGAUUGCGAAUAUGCAUGCUCAGUAACCUACUUGUUU